rnacentral:rRNA from 1 species
GACGAACGCUGGCGGCGUGCUUAACACAUGCAAGUCGAACGGAAAGGCUCUGCUGUUGUGGGGUGCCCGAUUGGCAAACGGGUGAGUAACACGCGUGUAACCUGCCCUUGACUUUGGGAUAACUUCUGGAAACUGGGGCUAAUACCUGGUAGGAGGUCCACUUGCAUGGUGGGGGCUGGAGAGUUUCGGCGGUUGGGGAUGGACUCGCGGCUUAUCAGCUUGUUGGUGGGGUAGUGGCUUACCAAGGCUUUGACGGGUAGCCGGCCUGGGAGGGUGACCGGCCACAUUGGGACUGAGAUACGGCCCAGACUCCUACGGGAGGCAGCAGUGGGGAAUAUUGCACAAUGGGCGGAAGCCUGAUGCAGCAACGCCGCGUGCGGGAUGACGGCCUUCGGGUUGUAAACCGCUUUCGCCUGUGACGAAGCGUGAGUGACGGUAAUGGGUAAAGAAGCACCGGCUAACUACGUG